AGCCUUGUGGUGUAUAACAUGUUAGAUUGCAAAUCUAAAGUUGCAGAUUAGACUCUGUCCGGGCUU
rnacentral:tRNA from 1 species